GGGCGAUUAGCUCAGUGGUAGAGCACUGCCUUCACACGGCAGGGGUCGCAGGUUCGAACCCUGCAUCGCCCA
rnacentral:tRNA from 1 species